AGUCGAUAUCUUGCAGAUCCCAUUCACAUUUUAGAUUUUUUUAUCGAGGCUGGGAGGCUUCAUGGCUUGCUCAGUUUGGCGCUUGACAGUUUAUCUCAAGAUAUCAGGUUUCAGGUCGUGGUAUAGCUUUUGGGUUUACCUCUCUUCAAUAGUCCAUGGUGAGAGCUCUGAGUCAGCUUGAUUCUAUUAGACUCAUUCUUUUGACUCAACCCUCAUCUUCUCUACU
rnacentral:lncRNA from 1 species